UGAGGUCUGUUUGGUCUUUUCAGUCACAACCACCCACCUCAGACAGGAUGUUGUGUGUUCUAGGGUAUCAGAGGAAGUAUUUGCAAACAGGCCCAUCUGUUCAAAUGAGAACCAGGCUCCUCUCCCAAGCCUCACAAGGUCGCAAAGCCUGCAGUGUCAGAAGCUCUGCUGAAUCCUUUAUUAUCUAUCUUUCCAGCCAGCGGCUGAUGAGAGAUUGCGUGUGUGCUGACUCUCAGCUCUUUCAAAUCAUGUUGAUUUGAAACUCAGCUGAUCCGGAAGGGGCCGGUCCUCCAUUUUGGUCAUUUCAGGUCAGCUCCAUAAAGGAUGCAGAGGGUGGAUUUUCAUGAUGGAAACACACGGCUGAUAUUCACAAAGCCAGUUCAUCCAGGAACAUGAGAACAGUGAAAUAUGGACAUGGCCUCUUUGCCUCUCCUGCAUGCCCAGUGCUUUGAAGAGUGCCUUGCACAGGACACAGCAGCACACAGCAAGAAGGUGGCUGUCUACAAACCAGGAAGGGAGCCCUCACCAAGAGCUGAAUCAGCAAGCAUCUUGAUCUUGGACUUCCCAUUCUCCAGAACUAUGAGAAAUAAAUGCCUGUCGCCAACAAAAUUUAGCUCUGCACAUCGAUAAAGAUGGCACCAAAGCAGUUAAAAAAAAAAAUUAAGUACAUAGGGUGUAAAUGAAACAGAUGAGCCGUGAGCUGAUGCUAUUGAAGUGGGCAUAGAUAAGCAGAGAGGUCUGUGCCAACACUGUCCAAAAGUAUGUCACAUGGGCCAUAUACGUCAUUUCAAAUUUCCCAGUAGCCACAUUUUAAAAGUUAAAAAGAAAUAGGUGAAUCCAUUUUUUAAAUGAUCUUUAACUCAGUAGAUUCAAACUAUAAUCAUUCCGGCACGUGUCUAUAGCCUGAUCUGAAGUGCUCUGUCUCACGGCUGGUGGUUUCCAUAUUGAACGGCAGAAUUCUGUGCUAGACACUCUACUUUUAUGCAUGUCAAAGACGUUUUCCGGAAUAAAAACAAAAAGUUGACAAACA
rnacentral:lncRNA from 13 species